rnacentral:lncRNA from 1 species
UCAAUAUGCAAUAGGAGGUGAUGACAGAUGUGACAGUGGUGGGUAAAAAUUAGGAGCCCAGAGGAGAAAGAACCUCUCCCAAGUGAGGUAGAAGUGACAUUGGACUUGAUCCUUAAAGGAUGUGGAACUUCACCAGAUAAAGGAGCUGGAACCGGGUGAGGAGCAGGACUCUGGAAAUAGAAGCUUCUCACCCAGGAAUGUUCCCAGGUCUGUCACUUUAUGCUUCCAGAUACCAUCUGCUGCCGGUUCUGUCCUCUGCUCUGUAACUGCGGGAGUGUUAACUAAAUGAUGGUUUAACAGAGACCAGCAGAAGUCUAAGGGAAAUGUCCCAAGAGUGACAAUGCCAGUACAAGUGACCGAGGGUCACCAAAGGGCUUCUGAUGGCAACACCCACCCCCAGAAGGAGCUGCAGCUGAAGUCCAAAGUUUGGGCUCUAAAGAGAAGGGUGGGGAUGACAGGAGGAUUUUUAUAACUUGGAGGUCGUAGCGCAUCUCCUCUCUAGAGGUGGUAACAGAAAAACCCAGAGGUGCAACGACUGGCCACACCCCGGCAUAUGGACGUUCCCGGGCUAGGGGUCAAAUUGGAGCUGCAGGUGCCACAGCAACCCCAGAUCCAGUCCACAUCUGUGGACUAUGCCACAGCUUGUGGCAAUGCCGGGUCCUUCAUCCACUGAGUGAGACCAGGGAUCAAACCUGCAUCCUCACAGAGACCACAUUAGGUCCUCAACCCACUGAGCCACAACAGGAACUCCUGGAUUGAGUUUCUUAUCCAGUAGUUCUUCCAAUUUUUUUUUGACUUUUUAAAAAUCUUUUUUAAAUUAAAAAAAAUGUUUAUUAUAGUUGAUUGACAGUGUCCUGUCAAUUUCUGCUGUACAGCAAAGUGACACCCAAGUUAUAUAUAUGUAUGUGUGUGUGUGUGUAUGUGUAUACAUUCUUUUUCUCAUAUCUUCCAUUAUUUUCCAUCACAAGGGAUUGGAUGUAGUUCUCUAAGCUAUACAGCAGGAUCUCAUUGCUUAUUCACUCCAAAUGCAACAGUUUGCAUCUACUAACCCCAAACUCCCAGUCCAUCCCACUCCCUCCCCCUCCUGCUUGGCAACCACAAGUCUGUUCUCUGCCCAUGAGUUUGUUUCUGUUUUGUAGAUAGGUUCAUUUGUGCCACAUUUUAGAUUCCACAUAUAAGUGAUAUCAUAUGGUAUUUGUCUUUCUCUUUCUGACUUACUUCACUUAGUAUGAGAAUCUCUAGUUCUAUCCAUGUUGCUGCAAAUGGUAUUUUCUUUUUUAUGGCUGAGUAGUAUUCCUUUGUGUAUAUAUACCACAUCUUCUUAAUCCAUUCAUCUGUCAAUGGACAUUUAGGCUGUUUCCAUGUCUUGGCUAUUGUGAAUAGUGCUGGAAUGAAUAUAGUGGUGCAUGUAUCUUUUAGAAUGAAAGUUUUUUUAUCCAGAUAUAUGCCCAGGAGUGGGAUUACUGAAACUUCUGGUAGUUCUAUAUUUAGUUCUCUGAGGAACCUCCAUACUGUUUUCCAUAAUGGUUGUACCAGUCUACAUUCCCACCAACAGAGAAGUAGGGUUCCCUUUUCUCCACACCCUCUCUAGCACUUGUUAUUUGUAGACUUAUUAAUGAUAGCUGUUCUGACCAGUGUGAGAUGGUACCUCAUUGUAGUUUUGAUCUACAUUUCUCUAAUAAUUAGUGAUGUUGAGCAUUUUUUUCAUGUGUUUGUUGGCUAUCUGUAUAUCUUCUUUGGAGAAAUAUCUAGGUUUUCUGCCCAUUUUUCAUUUGGGUUGUUUUUGUUGUUGUUGUUCAGGUUUUUUUGCUUUUUGUUUUUGUUUUUGCUGUUGAGUUGUAUGAGUUGUUUGUAUAUUUUGGGGAUUAAGCCCUUGUUCGUUGUAUCAUUUGCAACUAUGUUCUCCCAUUCCAUAGGGUGUCUUUUUGGGGUUUUAUUUCCUUUGCUGUGCAAAAGCUUUUACGUUUGAUUAGGUCCCAUUAUUUUUGCUUUUACUUCUCUUGCCUUGGGAGACUGACCUAAGGAAACAUUUACACAGUUGAUGUCAGAGAAUAUUUUGCCUAUGUUCUCUUCUAGUUUUAUGAUGUCUUAUGUUUAAGUCUUUAGGCCAUUUUUAUAAUGAUUUUUAUCUUUUCUAUUAUAGCUGAUUUACAGUGUUAUUUAUUUUUGUGCAUGGUGUGAGGGUGUGUUCUAGUUUCACUGAUUUACAUGUUGCUGUCCAGUUUUCCCAGCACCACUUGCUGAAAAGACUGUCUUUUUCUCAUUUUAUAUUCUUUGCCUCCUUUGUCAAAGAUUAAUUGACCACAGGUGUCAGAAUUAUUAAAUGAAUUUUUUCAAUGUUCAAAGGCUGACAGUACUGUGUAAUAUACUUCAUGCCAAUACUAUGAAUGAUUUCUUCUUUAAUAAUUCAAAACACUUUUUCAGGAUCUUUCCAUGUAUCAGAAUCCUCAUAUAUUAUUUCUUGAGUUGUAAUUACAGAGUUGUAAGUACAGGAGGCAAAGGGAAUGUAUGUUACUGACCUCAGGACAGAAUCUGAAAGUUGCUUUUUGGAAUGAAUUUGUAACAGCCCGUUAUGUGACUCUCUCCAAAAAAGAAUGUAAUCUAAAAUUCACUUUAUGUGCAAACAUUAAGUGCUUUGAACUUUUAAACACUUGAAUUUAAGGUGAAGGAGUGUUUCCUGAAAAAAAGAUACAGGGAUGGUCCAUUUGAAGCAUGAAGCAUGACAUUACCUCUUAUGUUAGGAGAGAAUUAGAUUAUCAGGAGCAUCUGGGGAAGUCAAGCCAGCUGUGGGCGCCAUGGGCAUUGGUUGGGAUGUUCUUAGAUUUUAAAAUGGGUGCAGAGUUCCGUGGUGAUACAGUGGGCUAAAGAUCUGGCAUUGGCACUGCUGUGGUGCAGUUUCAACCCUGACCUAGGAACUUCCACAGGCCAUCGGUACAGCCAAAAAAUAAAAUACAAUAAAAUAGGUGAGUUAUCCUUAGGAUUGAACACAUCCUCAAAUGGGGUGGGCAGCCUGGCUUCCUUGUGCAAGAGUCAUUUCUCAGGUUUCUUCUAGUCACUUCUGAGAAAGUAUUUUCCAUCCAUCAGGGUUAGCGGAUGGGAGCCAGUGGAGGAAGGGGGCAGCUGGAACAGAGGGAACAGAGGUUGGCAAGAGACAGUGUAAAGAUGAAAAGUUGAGAGGGAAGUCGGGCUUGACUGACAGUAUCCGGACACUUACCAAGAACUGGCUGCUCUGGCUACAGGUGGCUUCUUCAAACUUGGACAUCAUGUUUGCAUGUCAUUCUCCUUCCUCCUCAGUGUGACCCGGCAGGGGGCAGGGGAUAAAGAGGAGGCAGAAGUCUCACUGCGUGUUCUGGGCAGAAGGAUCCCCAUUAAUUAAGGGCUGAUGAUAAAUGGAUGGUAUUUAAGAACUCGUGACUAAUAUCUAGCUGUCAAUCCCUUGCAGUGGUCCAUGCUGUGCUCGGAAUGGCUCCUGCAAAAAUUUUUGACAGGCAUUGUAUAUUAUAAAGAAUAAACACCUGACCUCAGUCCUUUUGUACUGGCACCAUCUAUAAGACCAGCACACUGAGAGGUGACUUCUAAGUCACCCGUCCUAAACACAGACACACACACACACUUCACCCCCCUGCUUCCAGCUCCAGCCACCUCCCAGUGCCCACUGGACUGCUUUAAGAUGGCUUUUCCAGAAACUUCCUCUAUCCUUGUUGAUUUCAUUUAACCCCAUCUGUAAGCAGUCUUUCAUUAAUGUCUCAGUCAUCCCCUUCUGAAGGUGCCUUUUGUUCCUGCAAGAACACUUGAUCUGUACAGCCACCCAUUAGCUUUGGGACGUUGGGUCAUUAUUAAAAAAUCUUUUGUUCACAUCUUAAGGUGGAAAAUCUGUAAACUAUGUCGAAGUGACAAUAUUUUACCAGCUCUGACCUACAGAAAUGACAGCGUCAUAGGCUGUGAGAAAGACUUAAACAUAAAAUGAUUCAAAUAGUACCUGACACGCUGUAAGCAUUUCCUUUCUAGUGAUGUCGCUCGGACGCCAUCAUUUAUGUCUUUGCCCAACAAGAGCAAGUCUACGCUGCCUUCUCCCCCGUUCCAGGUUGACACGGCUCAGGUACUGCAGGGCUUUCUCCCCAAGCCCAGAGGCAAACUCAAACCCUAGGAAGGGAAGAGGCACCACUUCCCAAACCCCAUGACCCUCUUCUUCUGGUCUUUCCCAAAAGGGAUUUGCAUGCCCACCACCACCUGGUCUAGUGCAAGACCUGAGGAAGAGGACCAUGGGGUUGGGAAGCUAGGGUUUGAGUUUACCUCCUCAACAGAGGCAUCCUCCAGGCAUCUCUCAACAGAAAGUUUUCACAAUAAUGUUCUGCCUUACAGUAACGUUACAUCACUGGUAUUG